rnacentral:tRNA from 1 species
GYAUUACACUGGUCUUGUAAACCAGUAAUGAAAAAAAAAUUUUUCUCAGGGCA